rnacentral:rRNA from 1 species
GAUGAACGCUGGCGGCGUGCCUAAUACAUGCAAGUCGAGCGAACAGAUGAGAAGCUUGCUUCUCUGAUGUUAGCGGCGGACGGGUGAGUAACACGUGGAUAACCUACCUAUAAGACUGGGAUAACUUCGGGAAACCGGAGCUAAUACCGGAUAAUAUAUUGAACCGCAUGGUUCAAUAGUGAAAGACGGUCUUGCUGUCACUUAUAGAUGGAUCCGCGCCGCAUUAGCUAGUUGGUAAGGUAACGGCUUACCAAGGCAACGAUGCGUAGCCGACCUGAGAGGGUGAUCGGCCACACUGGAACUGAGACACGGUCCAGACUCCUACGGGAGGCAGCAGUAGGGAAUCUUCCGCAAUGGGCGAAAGCCUGACGGAGCAACGCCGCGUGAGUGAUGAAGGUCUUCGGAUCGUAAAACUCUGUUAUUAGGGAAGAACAAAUGUGUAAGUAACUAUGCACGUCUUGACGGUACCUAAUCAGAAAGCCACGGCUAACUACGUG